CACGAGGGGUGCAAGCGUUGUUCGGAAUCACUGGGCGUAAAGGGCGCGUAGGCGGCCUUGCAAGCAGGGGGUUUAAUUUCGGGGCCCAACCCCGGAGCCGCCCCCUGAACUGCUUGGCUUGAGUCUUUCAGGGGCAGUUGGAAUACCUGGUGUAGCGGUGGAAUGCGUAGAUAUCAGGUAGAACACCAGUGGCGAAGGCGAACUGCUGGGAAAUGACUGACGCUGAGGCGCGAAAGUGUGGGGAGCGAACAGG
rnacentral:rRNA from 1 species